UACGUAGGGUGCAAGCGUUGUCCGGAAUUAUUGGGCGUAAAGAGCUCGUAGGCGGUCUGUCGCGUCGGCUGUGAAAACCCGGAGCUCAACUCCGGGCCUGCAGUCGAUACGGGCAAACUGGAGUGUUGCAGGGGAGACUGAAAUUCCUGGUGUAGCGGUGAAAUGCGCAGAUAUCAGGAGGAACACCGGUGGCGAAGGCGGGUCUCUGGGCAACAACUGACGCUGAGGAGCGAAAGCGUGGGGAGCGAACAGG
rnacentral:rRNA from 1 species